UACGGAGGGUGCAAGCGUUAAUCGGAAUUACUGGCGUAAAGCGCACGCAGGUGGCUGAGAAAGUCGAUUGUGAAAGCCCUGGGCUUAACCUGGGAAUUGCAGUCGAAACUACUCGGCUAGAGUAUGGGAGAGGACAGUGGAAUUCCCGGUGUAGCGGUGAAAUGCGUAGAUACCGGGAGGAACACCCGCGGCGAAGGCGGCCCGCUGGGCCAUCCCUGACGCUGAGGCGCGAAGGCCAGGGGAGCGAACGGG
rnacentral:rRNA from 1 species